AUAUAAGCAUUUAUGGAGCUCCGGAAGGACUAGGGGGCCCUAAGCAGCUGCUUAGUCCACUUAUGCAUCAGCUCAGAUCUAAAUGGGAUCAGCAUUACAUAACUUAAUUUAAGACAAAGACAAUAGCUGAAUACUUAGGAUUUAACUAAACUGCAAAAUAAAUAUGUAAUUUUUGUUAUUAUGUUUUAGUAUUUGAUCCAUCAAAACAUUUUUAUACCCCCCUCACACUUAUAAGUCUCUGGAGCCGCCACUGGCUGUAGCCCCACCGUCCAGUCUCUAUAAUGGCUGCCAUCUCACACACAUCCUGAGAUUUGACGUCCCCACCACACCCAUGCCCAUCCCCCCUCAGCGCUCCCUCCAGGGUUUGCCAAAAUGAUCAAACCCAGCAGAUUUAACUGGUGUGAAACCCACAAAAUCUCCAUUACAAAAAAUACCUUUCACUCCAGACGCAUUACUAUGGGAGAUUACAAUUUUUUUCUUUUAUUUCAGUUUUAUUAAGUAAUUGAUAUGCGGUAAAGUUGUGAAGGCAGAGUUAAGGUGUUAUUAGUUGUGUACACAGGGCUGAGCCGUCAGCCUCAGCAAGCUGCUUUUUGCACCCAACCGGGAACUCCAGUGUGAGCCGGAGACAAAAUCAAGCGCUCCUUUAUGACUGCUACACACCUGCAACUACGGAGGGAAAUUAGACCUUCAUGCUACCACUUGAGGAAGGAGAACCAACAUAGCUGUACAGAAAAUGGACCAAAAGCCUCACUCUCGUCGUCUCGUGAUAGUCAGAGCACAACCUGAUAGAUGUGAGGCUCGUUAUAAGGCGGCCUGUGUAAAGACAGCAAUUGAAGAAAAGGAGUGGACGUCUUCUCUGCAUCAAAAAGGUUUAAUGCAAUCACAACAGUCAUCCAGCGAGAGUGACAAUUCCAUCAUCCUUGGUCCAACGCCAGCUGCAGUAAUCCAGGACAUGAGCGUGCCAGAGCUCACAAGAACCAACAGUGUGAUUGUAAGUUUAUCUACAAGCGUCAUUGACACUAAAAAGGAGGGUGACUCAACUGAGAGGGAUGCUGCAACUUCAUCUUCUAGAUCAUCAGGUAUGGAUGAAAUGUCAA